GGAUUGUGCAGAACUUGCCACCACGAAAAACUCAGAGAAGCUCAAUUCCACUGAAAAGAGGCCGGCAGCUUCUUAAAACAUUGGAAGACUACGCUAGACCAUCAGAUCAAAUUGCUGAACAAACAGCGUACCAAAAUGCCUACAUUAUGCACUGUGGAACGCUCUGCGGAUGGAUAGCUGUGGAAUCCGCAAAGGUCAAGAAGGCUUUUGUUACGAGGGCUGGAGGUUCCAAAACAUCCAUGAAGCUGGGGAUAAAAGACGCAGAUUGACCAGCCCACGCUUUCAUCCACCAUUGUACACAGUAUGGCACGCU